rnacentral:rRNA from 1 species
GAUGAACGCUAGCGGCAGGCUUAAUACAUGCAAGUCGUGGGGCAGCAGGACUGUAGCAAUACAGUUGCUGGCGACCGGCACACGGGUGCGGAACACGUACGCAGCUUACCCUGAACUGGGGGAUAGCCCGGGGAAACCCGGAUUAAUACCCCGUAAUAUACUGGAGUGGCAUCACUUUAUUAUUAAAGCUCCGGCGGUUCGGGAUGGGCGUGCGGCUGAUUAGGUAGUUGGUUGAGGUAACGGCUCACCAAGCCUACGAUCAGUAACUGGUGUGAGAGCACGACCAGUCACACGGGAGACGCGACACGGGCCCGACUCCUACGGGAGGCAGCAGUAAGGUAUAUUGGGCACUGGAGGCAACUCUGACCCAGCCAUGCCGAGUGGAGGAUGCAGGCCCUCUGGGUUGUAAACUUCUUUUAUAGGGGACGAAAACUGUGUAUUCUUACGCAGUUGACGGUACCCUAGGAAUAAGCACCGGCUAACUCCGUG